GGCGGGCAUCUCCUCCCAGCCAGGCAACUCCCCAAGCGGCACAGUGGUGUGAAGCCGUGGAUGUCGGAGUCCCCCCACACCACACCCCCAGCCUCCUAGUGUAACCCUUCCCGCUGAACUCACAGAUCAACGUAUUAACGAGACUAACCAUGACAGAUGGACUGCUCCGGUCCCUCGCCCUGCACAGAUUUGGGGGUAGAUGGUCCCUCAGACUGGCCCAGACACUGGGGGGAUGUAGUGGCCUGUGUGGCCUCCACCUCGUCCCCACCCACUGCCAAGUACAAUGACCCCUUCCUCCGAGACAUCAGUGUUAGCCUCCCUGUCCCC
rnacentral:lncRNA from 1 species